GAAGUUUCCCUCAGGAUAGCUGGCGCUCGCUUCUCGCGAGUCUCAUUCGGUAAAGCGAAUGAUUAGAGGCAUUGGGGUCGAAACGGCCUCAACCUAUUCUCAAACUUUAAAUGGGUGAGAUCUCCGGCUUGCUUGAACUGUGAAGCCGCGAGAUAUCGGAUCAGAGUGCCAAGUGGGCCACUUUUGGUAAGCAGAACUGGCGCUGUGGGAUGAACCAAACGCCGAGUUAAAGCGCCUAAAUCGACGCUUAUGGGAUACCAUGAAAGGCGUUGGUAACUUAAGACACUUUAUUUGUUUAACUUAAAACUAAAUGACAAUAAAUGCCCUAGCUCCGGUGCUCCGCCAGCGGCACUACACCGGAUGUCCUCAACUUA
rnacentral:ncRNA from 1 species